rnacentral:rRNA from 1 species
AUGCAGGCAAACAAACAACGUGCCAAAGUUGAUCCCCUAAUGCAGAAAGCCUAUGUGCAGGCAACCAAACAACUUGCAUAUGUCGCAUAUGAGGCUGUUUUUUCAAAGUCAGGCUGGGUUCAGAUGUGCACGCGCCCUUGGCGGUCGUCUAGUCUGGCUGCGAGGGGGCAGCAGGCCUUCUCUGGCAGCAUAGUUUCAGUGUCACUACGAUUUCAACCAGGGCCACGAGUAUGGCGUACCACACAAUGUCGCUUAGGCAUACACAUAUGUUCCAUUUCAUUAUUUCAUACAGCAGGCAAGCACCAUGCAAGGCCAUGCAAUUGUGCCAAAAGGAAAAGCUGA